UACGAAGGGGGCUAGCGUUGCUCGGAAUCACUGGGCGUAAAGCGCACGUAGGCGGAUUGCUAAGUCAGGGGUGAAAUCCUGGAGCUCAACUCCAGAACUGCCUUUGAUACUGGCGAUCUUGAGUCCGGGAGAGGUGAGUGGAACUGCGAAGUGUAGAGGUGAAAUUCGAUAGAUAUUCGCAAGAACACCAGUGGCGAAGGCGGCUCACUGGCCCGGUACUGACGCUGAGGUGCGAAAGCGUGGGGAGCAAACAGG
rnacentral:rRNA from 1 species